rnacentral:lncRNA from 1 species
ACGUGGGAUGGGUUUAAUUCUGCUCUCUGGCAGCUGCUGCUGAGUGGGUUCAUGUUGGACAACGCCAGGCCUGUGUAAUAAUGUCCCAAAGCCCAGGCGCAAGUGGGACAAGUAGGCCGUAUAGACAGCGCUGGGCCCCGCGCGCGUCCCCUCGGACCUCACCUGAGUACGUGUGGAAGGUGUCCUACUGCUAGAAGCUGCGACUCUGCCCGAGGGCUUGCUCUCGGUCCAAGCAUGCUGCCAGACAGCUGUGGCCAAAUUAAUCCCCCAGGAGCGGACAUCCGCUAAUGUUGCAUGGGGAUUGCAAGGGUCCUAAUAAGAGGAAGGCAAGAAGGUCAAGAAGGAGGAGAUGGGACCACAGACACAGAAGUUGGAGUGAUGAACUUGAAGGUCGAGGAAGUGGACGAGGAGCCAAGCAGUGCAGGUGGUCUCUAAAAGCUGGAAAAGACAAGGAAACAGAUUCUCCCCUGGCCUCCAGAAGGAACCAACCCUGCCAAUACCUUGCUUUUUAACCCCUUAGGAUUCAUUUUGGACUUCUGACCUCUGGAAUUCCAAGAGGAUAAAUUUAUGUUUUAAGCCACGAAGUUUGUGACAAUUUGUUACAGCAGCA